rnacentral:lncRNA from 1 species
UCAUAGGAAACGAUGCAGGAAAACAAAACAGCAGAACUGGCCAGGAGCCCAUUAAACAAAAGCCAUCCAAUGCAGAGCCAUUCUUUCAACAUCAACACCCACCCCUGCUCCAGCCCAAGCAGAACUUGAUGCACACCUCCGUGUCAAUCCGUCAGGAACAUAAAUGGGGCGACGCCAGCAGAAUGUGCUUUGCUAGCACCCGCGACCUCAUCUCCAGCUCUGGGAACAUACGUCACCCUGACAACAGACAGAUUAGUAGCACGGUGCUCGCCUCUGGAUUUAUUGUCUCAACAUGUGUUUUUUUAUUUUUUUUAAUGUUCGAUGCUUGCUGUUUGCAGCCAUCUAACAUUUCCUCUCUAUAUGCUGUACUGUGGAGACUGAAAAUCCAUCUAGAGAUUUGUGCUGACAUCACAUACUCAGGAGCAACUGUAGGAAAGAGGUUUGAAUUUUCCCAUGUCUUGGCUCACCAUAUAGGGACAUUUACAGAUCAGAGGACUGGUCCAUUGGAGCUGGAUUAUGACAUGACAACCAGGGGAGUGGGUUAUACAGACCUGUCUAUGGCAGAAACCUUCAUACAGGUCUAACACUGACCUUGGGUGCCUAUCCUUCUGUCAACAGACAGGCAAAUCAAACCUGUUCUGCACAAGAAACAUCCAUAACCUGGGAUUCAAUCAAAGGUGUGUUGUCGACGACCACAUUACACUACGAAUGUCUGGGAAAUUGCACUUAAAAGGCGCACUGUCGGUAGUGCAGAAUGCAGCUCUGGCAACACUACAUCUUUAAAUGACUCCCAGCCAUAGAUAUGAAGCACAAACUCUAUACGAAACAGCAUGAAUAUACUGCAUCUCUCAAAUGGCUUUGAAUCUAUGUGGAAUCAUAUGACAUAAAAGUCUUUGUCACGCCCUGGCCAUAGAGAGGUUUUUAUUCUCUAUUUUGGUUAGGCCAGGGUGUGACUAGGGUGGGCAUUCUAGUUUCUUUAUUUCUAUGUUUUCUAUUUCUUUGUUUUUGGCCAAGUGUGGUUCCCAAUCAGAGGCAGCUUUCUAUCAUUGUCUCUGAUUGGGAAUCAUACUUAGGCAGUCCUUUUUCCCUCUUUCAUUUGUGGGUUCUUAUUUUUGGAUUGGUUGUUAUUUUGCCCUGCAGAGCGUCCCGUUCGUAUUUUGCUGUGUUGUUGUCGGUGU